AAUGAACGCUGGCGGCAUGCCUAACACAUGCAAGUCGAACGAAGGCUUCGGCCUUAGUGGCGCACGGGUGCGUAACGCGUGGGAAUCUGCCCUUGGGUUCGGAAUAACAGUUAGAAAUGACUGCUAAUACCGGAUGAUGUCGUAAGACCAAAGAUUUAUCGCCCAAGGAUGAGCCCGCGUAGGAUUAGCUAGUUGGUGAGGUAAAAGCUCACCAAGGCGACGAUCCUUAGCUGGUCUGAGAGGAUGAUCAGCCACACUGGGACUGAGACACGGCCCAG
rnacentral:rRNA from 1 species